rnacentral:rRNA from 1 species
GUGUCAGCAGCCGCGGUAAUACCGGCGGCUCGAGUGGUGGCCGAUAUUAUUGAGUCUAAAGGGUCCGUAGCCGGCUUUGCAAGUCCCCCGGGAAAUCCAGCGGCUUAACCGUUGGGCUUUCGUGGGAUACUACAUUGCUUGGGACUGGGAGAGGUAGGAGGUACUCGGGGGGUAGGGGUGAAAUCCUGUAAUCCUCCGGGGACCACCGGUGGCGAAGGCGUCCUACCAGAACAGGUCCGACGGUGAGGGACGAAAGCUAGGGGCACGAACCGGAUUAGAUACCCGGGUAGUCCUAGCCGUAAACGAUGCCCGCUAGGUGUCACGAUGGUCGUGAAUCAUCGUGGUGCCGUAGGGAAGCCGCGAAGCGGGCCACUUGGGAAGUACGGCCGCAAGGCUGAA